rnacentral:rRNA from 1 species
AUUGAACGCUGGCGGCCGGCCUAACACAUGCAAGUCGAACGAGUGGCGGACUGGUGAGUAAUUUCUGGGAAACUGCCUGAUGUAGGGGUAUAACUGCUGGAAACGGUAGCUAAUCCCGCAUACCAUACUAUGUGCCCAGCUGGGUUUAUCUAGUGGGUGGGGUAACGGCUCACCAAGGCGACGCUCCCUAGCUGGUCUGAGAGGAUGACCAGCCACACUGGAACUGAGACACGGUCCAGACUCCUACGGGAGGCAGCAGUGGGGAAUAUUGCACAAUGGGCGAAAGCCUGAUGCAGCAAUGCCGCGUGUAUGAAGAAGGCUUUCGGGUGGUAAAGUACUUUCAGCGGGGAGGCGUUACCCGCAGAAGAAGCACCGGCUAACUCCGUGCCAGCAGCCGCGGUAAUAC